UAUUUUGUAAAUAUAGAUUCACUAAAAGGAGCCGUAAUCUCUUGUAUUUUGUAGCAAGCUAUGCUUCAAAUCUGAAGUUAGCUCUUAUGGUUUCACAGCACUCCUGUUCAUCAGACUGGAAAUAUUGCAGAUGCUCCUUUUUGAAGAGUAAAGUUGCUUAAUGAAUUGUACACAGAAUUGAACAAGGUAUAAAAGGCCAAAUUUUUUUUAAUGGCAAAUUUUAGUGUAUAUUAAUGUUGUUUUGUGUAUUCCAGAAAUGUUUAUGUUGGCAAAGGGUUUUCAGGGUUAAAGAUAAGAUGUGCUGCAAGUAAAGAGGUGCAUCUCUUCCAGAGAAAGGCAGAAUGAUUUUGGGAGUUGAGGACAAUUGCAUUAGCAGGCUCUCUGAUGAAAUGAGCAUUAACUACUGAUUCUUUUAGUUCCCAAGACAAGGCUGGACUUGCAAAGGCCCCAGUAGUGUGUAGUAUUCUGGGAAAUGCGCAAGGCCUUGCAAAGAAUACUCCCUUCACUGAGCAGCUGAAUAUCCUUUAACAGUCCUUUACUGGAUUAGCUUUGAGGUAGUCAAUGUAUCAUUAACUGUCUCUGGUUAUCACUGCACAUGAAGCUUCAUGGAUGCUUGCAAGGCACUGGAGGCACUUCUGGGUUGCUGCUGACUGUAUAGUCAGGUCCUCUGUAAGAAAGCUUUAGUCUCGCAGACUUUUAAACUUUGUUUAUUCUAAGAAAAAUAGAUACCUUUUAAAACUCUCAAUCUACAAGGAGACCUUCUGAGCUCUGCAAGUAUUUCAAAUUCAAAUUGCCAGGCAUGUGAGAGAGAAGACUGGACAGAAUGCAAUGGUGCAGUACUCACCAGGGGUAAGGCAGGCACUGAGUACAGCUUUGACACAUUUUUCUGAAGCUUUCUCUGGUUAACACACACUGCUUCUGGAGCCACACAUUGUGCACAGUAAACACACUGGUUAUGUUUAUUUAGGCUGCCAAAAAACUCUUGGUUCUGUUGCUUGGUGGAUCAGAGAUGAUGUGAGUGUUCUUGGGGAAAAAAACCCCCACAACCAAACAUUAAACCAGAGACUAGUUAAGUUUUGUCAUAUAAUUAUGUUUUGACACCACCUAAUACUGUGGAAUACUACUUUAAACUUAUUGAUCAUAUACCCACUUGAAACUGGUACUUUUGUAGAACUGGGAGAAUUGUU